rnacentral:rRNA from 1 species
GAUCCUGGCUCAGGACGAACGCUGGCGGCGCGCCUAACACAUGCAAGUCGAACGAGAGAGAAGGAGCUUGCUUCUUCGAUCGAGUGGCGAACGGGUGAGUAACGCGUGAGGAACCUGCCCCAAAGAGGGGGACAACAGUUGGAAACGACUGCUAAUACCGCAUAAGCCCACGGGUCGGCAUCGACCUGAGGGAAAAGGAGCAAUCCGCUUUGAGAUGGCCUCGCGUCCGAUUAGCUGGUUGGUGAGG